AUGUGCUAUGCAACAACUGCCUGUGUGAUGAUGGUGUGUUCACCUAAGGGGUCUUUUUUUUAUUUGAGUGUCACUUUCUUCCUGUUCUAUUUGUACACGUGGCAACCUCCAUGUUGUAGUCACCAUUUUGGUACCAGCCAGGGCAUUGAGCCGACAUUGGUUGUUACAAUGGCGAGCAGAAGUGAGUUUUACAAGCAUGAACAUAAACGUCUUCUUAAAGAUGCUGCUGCAGUCUCAGCAGAAAAUAUGAGACCUGAUUUUCAAUGUUGGAACAGCUUUAGUAUAAAAGCUGGUGGUCGCUAUGGACAAUACCAGUUUAGAAACACAUGUGUUCUUGACUCACUCCUUGUUGGACUUCACAUUUGUCACAACAAACAUCCAAAAUGUCGAGAACUUAUUCAAAUGGAUGCUACACUUAAUGCAAUUAUGAUAUUUUUAGAUGCAAAAAAGUAUAAUGAGGCCAGAUAUCUUUGGUUGAUUUACUUAAAUCUAUUGAAUCCAAGUUGUAGAUUCAAAAUAUCUGAAAGAAUUGAUUUUAGGAGUGAGGUCAAGGACCAUUUACCAGUGUUUAGAGACCUGGUAUGUUCUAAAGUGCAUUUUAGUGGAGAUGAAACUCCACUUCAUGGAAUGGAUGAUAUUCUUCAUCAAAGCACCAAAAGAGCUUUUGAACCCUAUGGAAAUGUUAUGCCUUUGGGGAUGAAUUAUAAAGUCCCCAGUGUUAUACUGGUGUCCAAAGAGGAUGGACUGCAUACAGCUCCCCCAAUUUAUGUCACUGAUAUGUAUGAAAGGACCUUUACACUGCAGUUUCUGCUUGUGUGGAAGAAGCAAGUGUAUGAAAAACACAUGGUUGUGUGCUGUAACAUGGAAGAUAGAUGGGUCCUGUAUGAUAAUCACCCUGAUGUACUUCCUAAAGACUUUAACUACGACUUAGAAGAUUUUAGGAAUGAUUACCCUGUCUACCUUGCUUGUUAUGUCAACAUCACACAACCUGGUCACAGCAAUGUGACUGACGUUCCAGUGGCUGAAGGAGGAGUUGGAACAUCAGUAUGGGACUGGGAGCCAGUGUAAAAAAACACCAGACACCAGGUGGGUAACACUAGCAAGAUAACUCUAAAUUUGCAUUAUUUUCACUGACAAAAUGUAUGUUUUCUUAGUUCUUGCUUUCUGUUUUAAUUCUUAUAGUGACACAUCCAUCACAUCACAACAGCAUUACAAAGCAAAAACAAAAGCUUUGAACACAACGGCAUUAAUGGAGAAUGCAAAUACAUUAAAUAAAUGUAGCAGAAUCUCUGUCA
ensembl:lncRNA